rnacentral:rRNA from 1 species
UACGGAGGGUGCGAGCGUUGUUCGGAAUCACUGGGCGUAAAGGGCGCGCAGGCGGGCUGUCAAGUCAGAUGUGAAAUCCCACGGCUUAACUGUGGACGUGCAUUUGAAACUGGCAGUCUUGAGUACCAGAGGGGAAUGUGGAAUUCCCGGUGUAGAGGUGAAAUUCGUAGAUAUCGGGAGGAAUACCGGUGGCGAAGGCGACAUUCUGGCUGGAUACUGACGCUGAGGCGCGAAAGCGUGGGGAGCAAACAGG